GCUCCUCUAGAUUCAGCGGCGGACGGGUGAGUAACACGUGGGCAACCUGCCCUGUAGAUUGGGAUGACUCCGGGAAACCGGGGCUAAUACCGAAUAAUCCUUCGGACCUCAUGGUCCGAUGUUGAAAGGCGGCAUCUCGCUGUCACUACAGGAUGGGCCCGCGGCGCAUUAGCUAGUUGGUGAGGUAACGGCUCACCAAGGCCACGAUGCGUAGCCGACCUGAGAGGGUGAUCGGCCACACUGAGACUGAGACACGGCCUAGACUCCUACGGGAGGCAGCAGUAGGGAAUCUUCCACAAUGGACGAAAGUCUGAUGGAGCAACGCCGCGUGAGUGAAGAAGGUUCUCGGAUCGUAAAACUCUGUCGUGAGGGAAGAACAAGUACCGGAGUAACUGCCGGUACCUUGACGGUACCUCAUUAGAAAGCCACGGCUAACUACGUGCCAGCCGCCGGGUAAUACAAGGGC
rnacentral:rRNA from 1 species